rnacentral:rRNA from 1 species
GAUGAACGCUGGCGGCGUGCCUAAUACAUGCAAGUCGAGCGAACAGACGAGGAGCUUGCUCCUCUGACGUUAGCGGCGGACGGGUGAGUAACACGUGGAUAACCUGCCUAUAAGACUGGGAUAACUUCGGGAAACCGGAGCUAAUACCGGAUAAUAUAUUGAACCGCAUGGUUCAAUAGUGAAAGACGGUUUUGCUGCCACUUAUAGAUGGAUCCGCGCCGCAUUAGCUAGUUGGUAAGGUAACGGCUUACCAAGGCAACGAUGCGUAGCCGACCUGAGAGGGUGAUCGGCCACACUGGAACUGAGACACGGUCCAGACUCCUACGGGAGGCAGCAGUAGGGAAUCUUCCGCAAUGGGCGAAAGCUUGACGGAGCAACGCCGCGUGAGUGAUGAAGGUCUUCGGAUCGUAAAACUCUGUUAUUAGGGAAGAACAAAUGUGUAAGUAACUAUGCACGUCUUGACGGUACCUAAUCAGAAAGCCACGGCUAACUACGUG